UACGUAGGGUGCAAGCGUUAAUCGGAAUUACUGGGCGUAAAGCGUGCGCAGGCGGUUAUGUAAGACAGUUGUGAAAUCCCCGGGCUCAACCUGGGAACUGCGUUUGUGACUGUAUGACUAGAGUACGGUAGAGAGGGGUGGAAUUCCUGGUGUAGCAGUGAAAUGCGUAGAUAUCAGGAGGAACACCGGUGGCGAAGGCGGCUAUCUGGACAGAGUCUGACGCUGAGGCGCGAAAGCUAGGGGAGCAAACAGG
rnacentral:rRNA from 1 species